UACGGGGGGGGCAAGCGUUGUUCGGAAUUACUGGGCGUAAAGGGCUCGUAGGCGGCCAACUAAGUCAGACGUGAAAUCCCUCGGCUUAACCGGGGAACUGCAUCUGAUACUGGAUGGCUUGAGAUUGGGAGAGGGAUGCGGAAUUCCAGGUGUAGCGGUGAAAUGCGUAGAUAUCUGGAGGAACACCGGUGGCGAGGGCGGCAUCCUGGACCAACACUGACGCUGAGGAGCGAAAGCCAGGGGAGCAAACGGG
rnacentral:rRNA from 1 species